rnacentral:rRNA from 1 species
UUCCGGUUGAUCCUGCCGGACCUGACUGCUAUCGGAUUGAUACUAAGCCAUGCGAGUCUUUGUAGUAAUACAAGGCAUACGGCUCAGUAACGCGUAGUCAACCUACCCUAUGGACAAGAAUAAUCUCGGGAAACUGAGCAUAAUUCUUGAUAGAUCAUAAUGCCUGGAAUGGUUUAUGGUUAAAAUGAUUCGUCGCCAUAGGAUGGGACUGCGGCCUAUCAGCUUGUUGGUGAGGUAAUGGCCCACCAAGGCGAUUACAGGUACGGGCUCUGAGAGGAGAAGCCCGGAGAUGGGUACUGAGACAAGGACCCAGGCCCUAUGGGGCGCAGCAGGCGAGAAAACUUUGCAAUGUGCGAAAGCACGACAAGGUUAGUCCGAGUGAUUUCUGCUAAAGAGAUCUUUUGCUAGUUAUAAAACCACUAGUGAAUAAGGGGUGGGCAAGUUCUGGUGUCAGCCGCCGCGGUAAAACCAGCACCUCAAGUGGUCAGGAUGAUUAUUGGGCCUAAAGCAUCCGUAGCCGGCUCUGUAAGUUUUCGGUUAAAUCUAUGCGCUCAACGUAUGGGCUGCCGAAAAUACUGUAGAGAUAGGGAGUGGGAGAGGUAGACGGUACUCGGUAGGAAGGGGUAAAAUCCUUUGAUCUAUCGAUGACCACCUGUGGCGAAGGCGGUCUACCAGAACACGUUCGACGGUGAGGGAUGAAAGCUGGGGGAGCAAACCGGAUUAGAUACCCGGGUAGUCCCAGCUGUAAACGAUGCAGACUCGAUGAUGCAUUGGCAUAUAGCCAGUGCAGUGUCGCAGGGAAGCCGUUAAGUCUGCCGCCUGGGAAGUACGUACGCAAGUAUGAAACUUAAAGGAAUUGGCGGGGGAGCACCACAAGGGGUGAAGCCUGCGGUUCAAUUGGAGUCAACGCCGGG